AGUGAACGCUGGCGGUAGGCCUAACACAUGCAAGUCGAACGGCAUCACAGUAAGAGCUUGCUCUUACGGGUGGCGAGUGGCUGGCGGGUGAGGAAUACAUCCGAAUCUACUUUUUCGUGGGAUAUCACGUAGGGAAACUUACGCUAAUACCGCAUCCUACCUACGCGUGAAAGCAGGGGAACUUCGGACCUUGCGCGCUUGUAUGAGCCGAUUUCGGAUUAGCUAGUUGGCGGGGUAAAGGCCCACCAAGGCGACGAUCCGUAGCUGGUCUGAGAGGAUGAUCAGCCACACUGGAACUGAGACACGGUCCAGACUCCUACGGGAGGCAGCAGUGGGGAAUAUUGGACAAUGGGCGAAAGCCUGAUCCAGCCAUACCGCGUGGAUGAAGAAGGCCUUCGGGUUGUAAAGCCCUUUUGGUGGGAAAGAAAAGCAGCAGGUUAAUACCGCGCUGUAAUGACGGUACCCAAAGAAUAAGCACCGGCUAACUUCGUG
rnacentral:rRNA from 1 species